ACCUUAAAGAAUCAGCAGCUGCCGUGGCUUCACUAGUUGAGAUAUUGUAGUCCAGCGACCAUAUUGUUACCUUAUUAACCUAAAAUAUCACAGGAAGUGAGUGGAUGUAGUUUUUUUGUGGAUCAAAUGAGGCAGACUGGUUUCAAACCUGUUCAAGGUCACCUGCGGAUUUCAGAAUGGAGUUAUGGAAAACAAGUCCCCAAACUGUCAUUUUAAAUGACAUUUUAAAGUAAUAUUGUACGUUGUAAAGCAAGACUAACUAAUCGACAGAAUGCAUGCCAAUGGGAAAUGGGGUGGGGCAGAGGAAAAAGAAAAGUAUAUCUUCACCUGUGUGAGUUUGGUGUUGUAUGUACAGUAUAUUGAGCAAGAGCAGCUCCUUCGAGUCCAAAACUCCACGAAUGUCUGUACGACAAGAAUUUAUUCCUCAAUAAUUCAUCAAUUCAAGGCUGUGGCGGGUUGUGACUUUGAAGAUAAAUAUUUAAGUUAUUCUAACCCUGGUGUGCUUCAAGCCUUCUCUUGCUGAAUGUAUGCCAUAUGAGGGGGAAGACAGCUAAUCAGAAAUAAACUGCCAUGUAAAUACAAGGACUGAAAUGAUUACGGGUGACGAUGCGAAGGGAGAUUUUGCUGUAUGUGUUUGUGUGAUGUUUCUUAGGUUUGAUGCUUCUCUCGUUUGGGUGUGUUCUGUAUGUUACCCUGUUCCCUGUUCUAUGAUGAGAGAAUACACUUUUUAUUUAUUGGAUGUACUGUAGCAUAGAGAGUUGAAACCAUUUCCAGUUUGUCACUGAGAUCCAACCCUUUGGUUCAAAGCAACACAGCAAAGUUGAGUUCAGCAUUAAAGCAUAUUGUGUCACAUUACGAUGUUUUAAGCAAAGGACAAAUCACUGCUUCAGUCUCUUAGAAUGAUCACAUCUGGUUAAAUAAAGGUUAAAAAAAAAACUUUUAAAAAACUAAUAAUGUCUGUGGACAAAUCUGGGAGAAAUUUGGCAACUGGCUCAAUGUGCAAAAAACUGGCUUUUGAAGCUUUGAACUUUAUCGAUCGAGAGCAAAGCUGUUAAAUCAUGAUGAUGGACAUUUCACUCAGGUUCGCUACCUUUCCGGAAAGAUAUAUCGUUUUAAUGAUACGUGAUUGGUUUACUAUUUGUUUGUUGUAGGUACAGUUUGUUUAUGUUCUUGUAAUCAACUUGUUUUCAUUUUGCAUCAAGUUGGCCUUGAAUUCUGAUUAUAAUUGCACCAAACACACAGGAUAUAGGAUAAUUAAUAAGUUAUAUGUUGAAAUAGAAUGCAGAAGUUCUAAGCAAAGCCCUAUUGACACUUUUGUUUUGAUCUCCUAACUUACAGGUGUAGGAGGCCAUUUUAGAUAUUGAAAAAUUAACUAUGGAAAAUAAUAGUGAAUGUGAAUUUCCAAGGGCUUCACUAAUUUAUGUAAAAGCUUCAUUUUCAUAUACAUUCUGGAUCAUUUGAUAACAAUGUGUAUUAGUUAUAUUUUCAGUACAUUCUAAGCCACAGUUCAAAAGCUUAUCCUAAGACGAUAAUUUUUUGACUGUCAAGUCACAUAUUUUAAGUCAGAUCAUAGUCCCCAACAUAUUAAUAUAAUGUUUUGUUGUUUUCUCCCAUGGGAAAGAUACAUGCCAAAAUGCCAAUAGAAUGAUGAAUGAGUUAAGUCCAAAUAAGUGAAUACCUGUUGAUGCUUCAAUGCUGUUUCAGUGCAAUCAAUUGGUCCUCUUACCUAAUCCUAGUAUGUGAUAAUACCAGAGUUUGCCCUAUAAAGCUGCAAUAAGGACUGUGCUGAUAUUAUUUGUAAGGAUUUGUGUCCACAGUCAGUGAAAGAGAAAGGGACAGAGAGAGAGAAAAAACCCUGCUUUGUUCAGUCAAUAUCAUCUCUGUUUCAUUGCAAGAGUUCCCAUGCAUCCAGCAUAACAUUUUAUCAAUGAAUGACGACACCUCAGUGAAUUUGGUUACCUUUUUCUUGAAUCCCUGGCAUCUGUUAUAUCAUGCACGAGACACUGUUUUGCAUGUUUUAAGUCAAAUGUUAUUUUUAAUUUAUUGUUACUUCAUUCUCCAUAAAAAAAGAGACUUCCAAUGGAAUAAAAAUUAGAUUCCCCAUGCAUGCUUGAAAUCGACUGACGAUUAUUGAGAGACGAUUAUCUUAGUUUAAAAUCUAUUUUUUUCCAUAUCAGAUAUUAAGGGUACUAAAUGUCUUGGUAGUAAUGUCUUAGCAAAUCAGGGUAUUCUCUGUUUCUGUUUUGAGAAGUGUCCUUCUUUGUUUGUUUGUUUGUUUUUUGUUGUUGUUUUUUACCAUUUGCCCCAAAGCACAUGGACUGUGUAUACCUUGUGCCUAGUAUAUCUAGUUUCCACAUAGUCUAUUUUUGUGGUAUGUACGUGCCUGUAAAAAUGCAAAUGUGUUUAUUUUCAACUUGCAAUAUAUGUACAAAUGUUAGCUAAAGACGAGUACUGCUGAAUUAAAAUUAUAAUGUCAGUAUAUAUAAUUUUCCCUGAUUUGGGAAACACAAAAUUGCACAUUUUUGUUGGUUUGAGCCUUCAAACACCAUGUGCGCUGUACUCUGUUCUCAUCUACUGUAUGUGUGUUAUACACAGAGUUGUGGGGGCACAUUGUUACAUUUUUACUACAAUCUGGUGUCACCAAAGCAUUUUGUACAAUGAGAGGGUGACGUCAAACAGUCUUUUUGUGAAAUUUAUGCAGUCUAGAUAUCACCUCAGUCAACAAACAGUUUGUGUGGACAACUGAACUCAAAAUUGAACCCCAAAAAUCUAGAAUCAUUCAAUUGAAAAUUAACCCCCAAAAUGUAUAUCUGAAGACCAGGGGACCAACAGCAGUGCAAAGCUGCUUGAAUCAUGGUCUUUAUGUCUGUCUGUUUGACAAGCCAAUGCAUUUGCUUCUAACCUAAAGGACACGUUUGGUUAAUAAUUCCUCGUGGGACCUUCAAAUCUAGACAUUGCUGUGUAACCAACUACAAUGAUUUAAAACGCCAUCUAGUCUAACAAAUAUUAUACCUUAGUGUUGUAGUUACCGUAGCCUGCUUAUCUAAGCCUUCUCUCCGCUUCAGGACUCUCUGUAUAAUGUGUGUGACUGUGUUUGUGUGUACCUGUGCCUUUCCUUCUACACUGUUGGUCCCACUUGAGAACACCAGCUAGGUCUGCUAGCCCACCUCAAGCAAAAACAGACACCGACAGAGUUGGCAUCUGAAAAAAAGUUGUUUAUUUUGGACAAAAUACAUUCUACUGCAUUGUAGCCAGCGUUCCUAACAGUGGCUAUAGUACAAAGGUUCUCAGAACUCAAGUAGAUACUAUAUUUCAGCCGCUAUGGGUUUUAUCCUAUUCUGGCACUGAAAAGGUUGAUUUCUCAGAUCAUUGUCACUCAGUGUUUGUCGCCCCUAUAGAGGUUGUCGUAGAUCCAGCUUGUGUUUGGGUCUGUAAAGGUUGAAGUACUUUAACGCUUCACUGAACUCCAUACUGUACUCUGUCUGAGCUGAUAUCUAACUGUCCAAUCUCAAACUGACCCUUAACCCCUACUCCUACAUACUUCCUGUACUCUAUAUCUGCAAGGAGUGGAUAGGUUUACUCAAUGUGGUAAUAGCUCCUCCUUGUCCUUUGAUAGGCUGAUGGAACUUCCACCAUAAUAGUUCCACCUACCCAGUACUUUCAGAUGAACAUAAGUGCAUAGGGGUAGGAGGCCCUAAAGGUGUCUUUGGGACAGGUUACACAGCUGCCCUCCAGCUCAUCCAGAACACAGAGCCAGGCUCUAGUCUCUCAUUAAGCUGGUCUGUCGAUCAGUGGCAAUGUUGUUAAAUUGUCCCUAACCAAACAAUUCAGUGUUGUGCAAUAAAAAGAUGAGCGCAUUGG
ensembl:lncRNA